GCGAAUUUGCACCGAGCGGUAUGGCGGGCGUCUUUUGGAUGGCCUCUUGGUAUCGUGAGGAGUCUCCUUAGAUUUGUUUUAAGGUCAGUUCCAAAACAGCUCCAAAAAUAUGAAGCUCUCAAGUGUAUGCGUUUGCUGACGAGUAGUCACUCGACGUGCUCCACAUGUCACACAUUUUGAGUGUCAUGCAGGAUCUCUCCCAGGCUGUGGAAAAUGGUUCCUCAGUGUGAGAUGAGGAAAUGAAGUUUGGCUUUUUGUCUGACUUAAGUGGACCAAUGUGCAAUCUGGUCUGUUUUUUGGAUCCUAACACAAUUACAAAUGACAGUAUUUUACAAUUCUGAGAUUCAAAAGUUACUUAUUCAUUUAAUAUUAUCCCCCUCGGUAAGGUUUGACGCUGACCAAGCAGUAGAUGGCAGCGUAAAGCAAAGUCGAGCCGCAUACUUUCAAAUGAGCAAAUGCAUUACUUCAUCAGACUUCUAAAAGUUAAAUUAUAGCUAUAUGCUGUUCAUAACUUUCAUGUACAGAGUUUCUGAAGAGUUGGAGGUUUUGAUUUUGUGAGCCAUAGUGACAUUUCAGUGUUUUGCAAAUUUUGUGGCUUCAGGCUGUAGUCUAAGUGUGUUCCUGUUAGCAUUACAAUUGGCUCCUCCAAAUCACUUGACUCGGGCUUCAGCAAACAGACUGAAAUUCACUUAUGUAGCUAUCUUUUUUUUGGUUGAGUGUUGGUUUUCUUGCUUGGCUUUAUGUGAAUAAUUUGUUCAACUUUUCAUGUCGCCUAAUAAUUGAAGUUUUAACUCGACCAGAAGAAAAGAACUGGGCAAUGUAGGGUUGGGUGGCCAGGAGGUUCAAUCUGGGCUGAGACUUUUUUUUUUUUUUUUUUUUUUGUCUUCCCUCUUUUCCAAACCUCUAACAUGGGCAUUGGCAACCUGCAGCUCUUUAGUGCUCCCCUACUGGCUCCCUGGAGCUUUUUCAAAAAUGUUUGAAAAAUAUUGUUUUUCAUUUUAUUAUGGUUCUGUAGGUGGACAAAUGUUUUCCAAUUCUGUAAGAAUGUGUAGAAUAAAUUAAAUUUCAACAUUUCUGUCAAGGAAGAUUUGCAUCAUAGCCUGCGACAUGUUUUGAACAGGGCGGGAUGCUAGGCAGGUGCCGGUUGUAAACAAACCGGUGGCUGUGUGAUGGGCCAUGGAUCCCAAGGGAGAAAAAUUACUAAGAACAGAGGAGUCAAUGUUUCUUGGAACGAAUCAUUGGCAUUCAUUGACAAUGCAGAAGAAUUGCCUGAAUGUUUGCUUUGUAGCGAGAAGUUGUCAAAUAACAGUAAUGUAGAAAGGCAUUUGCAGGGAAGGCAUGUUAAAUUUGCAGCAGAGUACCCAGUUAGGAAAGAGUGGAAAAAGUGCAAUUGCAUUACAAAUGGAAAAAUGAGAGUGCAAAAAAUUUAAGUGAAUUGCAUUUCCAAACGCCACGGAUGCUGCAAGUUUUUGUUGAAACCUGAGAGGAGCUAAAGCGUGGGAAACCGUUCAGAUGGCUGGAGCUGACCAGUGAUGUCUCAAACAGCAAAGCAAUGAAACAUAAUGAACUUAAACUUGAGGUGCCAUCAUACGACAGUCACGGAGUGCAUCGUUCUCUACAGAAUGAAACUCAAGAUGUUUUCAGUAUGGCUUUCAACAUUUUGGGUUGCCGACCCCUGCUCUAACAAAUGGUGCCGCGACCCAGAUUCUGAAGUACAUCAGUGGUGAGACGAGCUGAGACAUAGAACUGCACUGGAAUAAAGAGAGAGCUGGAGCCAAUCCCAGCUAACUUCGGGCAGCGGCAGACUACACCCCGAACUUGUCGCCAGCCAGUCGCAGUGCAGAUGUCAAAACCAUCCCUGAGCUGGAAUCGAUCUCACGCUGCCUUCACACGAAAUAUCCCUCUGAGGGAAACCCGAACUACAACGUGGCCCUCGAGAAAUGAGUUCGACAUCCCUGCACUACACCCAAAAAAAAUUUUUACCCGAACACUGGCAUAGACCGAGCAAGAGCUGAAUGACAUGGACAAAAUAGAAACACGUGGAUACACCUUACACACUGUAAAAGGUCAUCUCAGCUGAGUCAACCAAGGGGAAAGCUUUACAGGGACAGAUUUUAAGGUGGGAAGUCUCAACAAAGCAUGGUGUCAUGAUAUCCAUCUACAAACUGCCGCACUGCUCCCAUGCAGCUCUUUGUUGUGGUGGUUUGUUGGUCAAAGCAGAGGAUACACAAUUGGCCGCAUCCGUCUUUGGACCUCCCCUUGGGUUCUCCCGAAGGCGAAGGUCCUCUUGGGAAGAUGGAGAUUUGACAUACAUUGAUGCAAAUGGCAAAUUGAAUGCUUUCCCGCCAGGACUUGGGGGCAUUACCCCUGCGUCCCGUGGGGAAGGAGGGUGCAUGGUACAUCCACCCGAAACUAUGGUUCUAAUCACUGGGGCAUAUGCGGUGGUGACCCACGCCUAUUGCUGACCACAGACCAAACCCUGCUAUCCAGACGUUUUUGGAACCAAUAUGGCUUGUUCAACGUUUUGGGUUGCCGACCUUUGCUCUCACAAAUGGUGCUGUGACGUGCAUUCUGAAGAGGUACAUCAGUGGUGAGACGAGCUGAGACAUAAAAGAACUCCAACAUGAUUAAAGUGUAAACGACGACGUUCCAAAUGGGAAUUUGUCCACUUAAACACAAAUCUCCCUUAACCCGACUUGGAAUGGUGGGGGGUCGACGACUACUGCCCAAG